rnacentral:tRNA from 1 species
GCGGGCAUGGUUUAGUGGUAGAACACGUCCUUGCCAAGGACGAGAUUCGGGUUCGAUUCCCGGUGCCCGCACCA